GUGACUGCGUACCUUUUGUAUAAUGGGUCAGCGACUUAUAUUCUGUAGCAAGGUUAACCGUAUAGGGGAGCCGAAGGGAAACCGAGUCUUAACUGGGCGUUAAGUUGCAGGGUAUAGACCCGAAACCCGGUGAUCUAGCCAUGGGCAGGUUGAAGGUUGGGUAACACUAACUGGAGGACCGAACCGACUAAUGUUGAAAAAUUAGCGGAUGACUUGUGGCUGGGGGUGAAAGGCCAAUCAAACCGGGAGAUAGCUGGUUCUCCCCGAAAGCUAUUUAGGUAGCGCCUCGUGAAUUCAUCUUCGGGGGUAGAGCACUGUUUCGGCUAGGGGGUCAUCCCGACUUACCAACCCGAUGCAAACUCCGAAUACCAGUAAGUACUAUCCGGGAGACACACGGCGGGUGCUAACGUCCGUCGUGAAGAGGGAAACAACCCAGACCGCCAGCUAAGGUCCCAAAGUCAUGGUUAAGUGGGAAACGAUGUGGGAAGGCCCAGACAGCCAGGAUGUUGGCUUAGAAGCAGCCAUCAUUUAAAGAAAGCGUAAUAGCUCACUGGUCGAGUCGGCCUGCGCGGAAGAUGUAACGGGGCUAAACCAUGCACCGAAGCUGCGGCAGCGACGCUUAUGCGUUGUUGGGUAGGGGAGCGUUCUGUAAGCCGUUGAAGGUGGCCUGUGAGGGUUGCUGGAGGUAUCAGAAGUGCGAAUGCUGACAUAAGUAACGAUAAAGCGGGUGAAAAGCCCGCUCGCCGGAAGACCAAGGGUUCCUGUCCAACGUUAAUCGGGGCAGGGUGAGUCGACCCCUAAGGCGAGGCCGAAAGGCGUAGUCGAUGGGAAACAGGUUAAUAUUCCUGUACUUGGUGUUACUGCGAAGGGGGGACGGAGAAGGCUAUGUUAGCCGGGCGACGGUUGUCCCGGUUUAAGCAUGUAGGCGGAGGUUCCAGGUAAAUCCGGUACCUUUUAACGCUGAGGUGUGAUGACGAGGCACUACGGUGCUGAAGUAACAAAUGCCCUGCUUCCAGGAAAAGCCUCUAAGCAUCAGGUAACAUCAAAUCGUACCCCAAACCGACACAGGUGGUCAGGUAGAGAAUACCAAGGCGCUUGAGAGAACUCGGGUGAAGGAACUAGGCAAAAUGGUGCCGUAACUUCGGGAGAAGGCACGCUGAUAUGUAGGUGAAGCCCCUGCGGGUGGAGCUGAAAUCAGUCGAAGAUACCAGCUGGCUGCAACUGUUUAUUAAAAACACAGCACUGUGCAAACACGAAAGUGGACGUAUACGGUGUGACGCCUGCCCGGUGCCGGAAGGUUAAUUGAUGGGGUUAGCGCAAGCGAAGCUCUUGAUCGAAGCCCCGGUAAACGGCGGCCGUAACUAUAACGGUCCUAAGGUAGCGAAAUUCCUUGUCGGGUAAGUUCCGACCUGCACGAAUGGCGUAAUGAUGGCCAGGCUGUCUCCACCCGAGACUCAGUGAAAUUGAACUCGCUGUGAAGAUGCAGUGUACCCGCGGCAAGACGGAAAGACCCCGUGAACCUUUACUAUAGCUUGACACUGAACAUUGAGCCUUGAUGUGUAGGAUAGGUGGGAGGCUUUGAAG
rnacentral:rRNA from 1 species